CCUACGGGUGGCAGCAGUGGGGAAUAUUGGACAAUGGGCGCAAGCCUGAUCCAGCCAUGCCGCGUGAGUGAUGAAGGCCUUAGGGUUGUAAAGCUCUUUUACCCGGGAAGCGGUACCGGGAGAAUAAGCCCCGGCUAACUUCGUGCCAGCAGCCGCGGUAAUACGAAGGGGGCUAGCGUUGUUCGGAUUUACUGGGCGUAAAGCGCACGUAGGCGGAUUCUUAAGUCAGAGGUGAAAUGCCGAGGCUCAACCUCGGAACUGCCUUUGAUACUGGGGAUCUCGAGUUCGGGAGAGGUGAGUGGAACUGCGAGUGUAGAGGUGAAAUUCGUAGAUAUUCGCAAGAACACCAGUGGCGAAGGCGGCUCACUGGCCGAACUGACGCUGAGGUGCGAAAGCGUGGGGAGCAAACAGGAUUAGAUACCCUUGUAGUC
rnacentral:rRNA from 1 species